UUACAACUCAGCAGCAGGAGCCCUGAAGGAGGUGUCUGCAGGUUCCUGCUGAUCAGCCCUGAGACACUGCAGUCUGCAACACUUUGUAAGGUGCUGAACUCAAACAUAUAUGUGGGCUCUAUAGCAGCAGGACCGUCAGAGAGAGUCAAUGAAGACAGCAACCACCAGAGCAGACUGCAGAAAAUGAAGUGAUGUAUGUGACUUGGGGCUUAAAAUGUCCAGAACAUCUCUCAGCGGGCCUCUCCUCUUGAUAGAUGGUAAUGUCAGGCUGAUAAAUUAGCUGUGCAGCAAGUAUUUUUCACUCCUUCCUCUUCAGAAGUAGAGACUGGAAUGGAAGACAACUAUCACAAGCACAAAAAUCCAGAGGUAAAGCAGCAGCAGGCUCAAAGAGGAACUUCAGUGGUGGUGAGAGCACAGCUGUUGCUAGACUUGUUUUGCUGAGGAACUACUUGAAUAACACACAGUAGCACAGCUCCUUUCUGCUUUAUUUUGCUUGUGAAAACUGUAGCUACAAUUGCCUUUUUUUUUUUAAC